rnacentral:rRNA from 1 species
UGGGGAAUUGUUCGCAAUGGGCGCAAGCCUGACGACGCAACGCCGCGUGGAGGAUGAAGGUCUUCGGAUCGUAAACUCCUGUUGCUCGGGACGAAUAGCUUCGACCUAAUACGUCGAAGUCUGACGGUACCGGGUGAGGAAGCCCCGGCUAACUCUGUGCCAGCAGCCGCGGUAAUACAGAGGGGGCAAGCGUUGUUCGGAAUUACUGGGCGUAAAGGGCGCGUAGGCGGCCUGUUAAGUCGAACGUGAAAUCCCCGGGCUCAACCCGGGAACUGCGUCCGAUACUGGCAGGCUUGAAUUCGGGAGAGGGAUGCGGAAUUCCAGGUGUAGCGGUGAAAUGCGUAGAUAUCUGGAGGAACACCGGUGGCGAAGGCGGCAUCCUGGACCGAGAUUGACGCUGAGGCGCGAAAGCCAGGGGAGCAAACGGGAUUAGAUACCCCGGUAGUCCUGGCCCUAAACGAUGAAUGCUUGGUGUGGCGGGUAUCGAUCCCUGCCGUGCCGAAGCUAACGCAUUAAGCAUUCCGCCUGGGGAGUACGGUCGCAAGGCUG